GCAAACUUGGUCAUUUAGAGGAAGUAAAAGUCGUAACAAGGUCUCCGUUGGUGAACCAGCGGAGGGAUCAUUAUCGAGUUUCUAUACUCCAAACCUUUGUGAACAUACCCAUCGUUGCUUCGGCGGCUUCGUCCCGGGCGCACCCCUAGCGGGCGUGUGACCCGGACCCAGGCGUCCGCCGGAGACUACAAACUCUUGUUUCUUAUAGUUAUCUUCUGAGUGGCAUAAGCAAAUAAAUUAAAACUUUCAACAACGGAUCUCUUGGUUCUGGCAUCGAUGAAGAACGCAGC
rnacentral:misc_RNA from 1 species